rnacentral:rRNA from 1 species
AGUGAACGCUGGCGGCGUGCCUAAUACAUGCAAGUCGAACGGCCGCACAGUAAGCGUUCUCCUCUACGGGUGGCGAGUGGCGGAUGGGUGACGAAUACAUCGGCAUCUUAUUUUUCGUGGGGGAUUACGUAGGGCCACAUAUGCUACCACCUCAUAUGUUCUACCGGUUAAAUCAACAGAUCAACGCACACUGCGCGUUUCAUUGAGCUGAUGUCGCAUUAGCUAGUUGGCGGGGUAAAGGACCACCAAGGCGACGCUACGUAGCUGGUCUGAGAGGAUGAACAGCCACACUGGAACUGAGACACGGUCCAGACUCCUACGGGAGGCAGCAGUGGGGAAUAUUGGACAAUGGGCGCAAGCCUGAUCCAGCCAUACCGCGUGGGUGAAGAAGGCCUUCGGGUUGUAAAGCCCUUUUGUUGGGAAAGAAAAGCAGCAGGUUAAUACCCCGCUGUUCUGACGGUACCCAAAGAAUAAGCACCGGCUAACUUCGUG